UACGUAGGGUGCGAGCGUUGUCCGGAAUUAUUGGGCGUAAAGAGCUUGUAGGUGGCUCGUUGCGUCGGGAGUGAAAACCUGCGGCUUAACCGCAGGCCUGCUUCCGAUACUGCCAUGACUAGAGUUCGGUAGGGGAGUGUGGAAUUCCUGGUGGAGCGGUGAAAUGCGCAGAUAUCAGGAGGAACACCCGUAGCGAAGGCGGCACUCUGGGCCGGAACUGACGCUGAGGAGCGAAAGCGUGGGGAGCGAACAGG
rnacentral:rRNA from 1 species